CGUGAUGGGGUGGCCGCAAGGCUGGAAGCAACUGAUUUCACACUGUCAAGAAAAGCCGCUAGCGAGACCGUAGGUGCCCGUACCGCAAACCGACACAGGUAGAUGAGGAGAGAAUCCUAAGGUGAGCGAGAGAACUAUUGUUAAGGAACUCGGCAAAAUAACCCCGUAACUUCGGGAGAAGGGGUGCUCCGGAAACGGAGCCGCAGUGAAAAGUCCCAGGCGACUGUUUACCAAAAACACAGGUCUCUGCGAAAGCGAAAGCUGAAGUAUAGGGGCUGACGCCUGCCCGGUGCUGGAAGGUUAAGGGGAUGUGUUAGGGCACCGAAGCACUGAACUUAAGCCCCAGUAAACGGCGGCCGUAACGAUAACGGUCCUAAGGUAGCGAAAUUCCUUGUCGGGUAAGUUCCGACCCGCACGAAAGGCGUAACGAUCUGGGAACUGUCUCAACAAUAGACUCGGUGAAAUUGUAGUACCGGUAAAGAUGCCGGUUACCCGCAGCAGGACGGAAAGACCCCAUGGAGCUUUACUGUAGCUUGAUAUUGAGAUUCGGCGUUGCAUGUACAGGAUAGGUGGGAGACUGCGAGGUAAGUACGCCAGUAUUUACGGAGUCACCGUUGGGAUACCACCCUUGUAACGUUGAGUUUCUAACAUUGCGCCGUGAUCCGGCGCAUGGACAGUGUCAGGUGGGCAGUUUGACUGGGGCGGUCGCCUCCUAAAGAGUAACGGAGGCGCCCAAAGGUUCCCUCAGUGCGGUCGGAAAUCGCGCGAAGAGUGUAAAGGCAGAAGGGAGCUUGACUGCGAGACAGACAAGUCGAGCAGGGACGAAAGUCGGGCUUAGUGAUCCGGUGGUUCCGCGUGGAAGGGCCAUCGCUCAACGGAUAAAAGCUACCCUGGGGAUAACAGGCUGAUACCGCCCAAGAGUUCACAUCGACGGCGGUGUUUGGCACCUCGAUGUCGGCUCGUCUCAUCCUGGGGCUGAAGUAGGUCCCAAGGGUUGGGCUGUUCGCCCAUUAAAGAGGUACGCGAGCUGGGUUCAGAACGUCGUGAGACAGUUCGGUCCCUAUCCGCUGUGGGCGUUGGAGAUUUGAGUGGAGCUGUUCCUAGUACGAGAGGACCGGGAUGGACGUAGCUCUGGUGCACCAGUUGUUCUGCCAAGGGCAUCGCUGGGUAGCUACCUACGGACGGGAUAAGCGCUGAAAGCAUCUAAGUGCGAAGCCCCCCACGAGAAAAGAUCUCCUCC
rnacentral:rRNA from 1 species